GUGGUGAUGGCUCAGCGGUUAAGGCUUUGGACUGCUGAUCAAACGGUUGAGUUAAAAUCCUUGCAUGCCACA